GAACGGGUGAGUAACACGUGGGCAAUCUGCCCUGCACUCUGGGACAAGCCCUGGAAACGGGGUCUAAUACCGGAUAAUACUCUGUCCCGCAUGGGAUGGGGUUGAAAGCUCCGGCGGUGCAGGAUGAGCCCGCGGCCUAUCAGCUUGUUGGUGGGGUGAUGGCCUACCAAGGCGACGACGGGUAGCCGGCCUGAGAGGGCGACCGGCCACACUGGGACUGAGACACGGCCCAGACUCCUACGGGAGGCAGCAGUGGGGAAUAUUGCACAAUGGGCGAAAGCCUGAUGCAGCGACGCCGCGUGAGGGAUGACGGCCUUCGGGUUGUAAACCUCUUUCAGCAGGGAAGAAGCGCAAGUGACGGUACCUGCAGAAGAAGCGCCGGCUAACUACGUGCCAGCAGCCGCGGUAAUACGUAGGGCGCAAGCGUUGUCCGGAAUUAUUGGGCGUAAAGAGCUCGUAGGCGGCUUGUCACGUCGGUUGUGAAAGCCCGGGGCUUAACCCCGGGUCUGCAGUCGAUACGGGCAGGCUAGAGUGUGGUAGGGGAGAUCGGAAUUCCUGGUGUAGCGGUGAAAUGCGCAGAUAUCAGGAGGAACACCGGUGGCGAAGGCGGAUCUCUGGGCCAUUACUGACGCUGAGGAGCGAAAGCGUGGGGAGCGAACAGGAUUAGAUACCCUGGUAGUCCACGCCGUAAACGUUGGGAACUAGGUGUUGGCGACAUUCCACGUCGUCGGUGCCGCAGCUAACGCAUUAAGUUCCCCGCCUGGGGAGUACGGCCGCAAGGCUAAAACUCAAAGGAAUUGACGGG
rnacentral:rRNA from 1 species